rnacentral:rRNA from 1 species
AAAUGACUCUCGGCAACGGAUAUCUCGGCUCUUGCAUCGAUGAAGAACGUAGUGAAAUGCGAUACUUGGUGUGAAUUGCAGAAUCCCGUGAACCAUCGAGUCUUUGAACGCAAGUUGCGCCUGAAGCCAUUAGGCCGAGGGCACGCCUGCCUGGGUGUCACA